AGUGAACGCUGGCGGUAGGCCUAACACAUGCAAGUCGAACGGCAGCACAGUAAGAGCUUGCUCUUACGGGUGGCGAGUGGCGGACGGGUGAGGAAUACAUCGGAAUCUACUUUUUCGUGGGGGAUAACGUAGGGAAACUUACGCUAAUACCGCAUACGACCUACGGGUGAAAGCAGGGGAUCUUCGGACCUUGCGCGAUUGAAUGAGCCGAUGUCGGAUUAGCUAGUUGGCGGGGUAAAGGCCCACCAAGGCGACGAUCCGUAGCUGGUCUGAGAGGAUGAUCAGCGACACGGGAACUGAGACACGGUCCAGACUCCUACGGGAGGCAGCAGUGGGGAAUAUUGGACAAUGGGCGCAAGUCUGAUCCAGCCAUACCGCGUGGGUGAAGAAGGCCUUCGGGUUGUAAAGCCCUUUUGUUGGGAAAGAAAAGCAGCAGGUUAAUACCCCGCUGUUCUGACGGUACCCAAUGAAUAAGCACCGGCUAACUUCGUG
rnacentral:rRNA from 1 species